CUCUGCAGACUCCUCUAUAGAUAUAAUACACACAAACAUACACACAUAGAGACACAUAAAAAUAAUAAAUUCUUUGAAAAGACUUGAACUCUUCUAAGAGUCAUCUGAGAGAGGACUGCCACAAUGUUCGAUAACCCUCCAAAGUCAAGGGUCUCUGCCUCAGAAGAACCCUUGAGUACGCUCCCUAACUCCUGGAUUUAGUGGUCUAUAUCUUUCUGAGAUCCUUUAAAGAUGGAAUGUGACAGAACCCAGGACCUACAGCAAAGUUAUCCCUGGAUCUGGAAUCCCUCAAGCACAAUUUAGAGAAAUCAGCUGGCAGUCUUUGGAGGCUUCCCCGUGAUGAUAUGUGAAUACCUUGGUGCUGAUGUUUAUAUAGCAGUGAAGGCUGCUGAGAUGGUUAGUGCUGUAUCUGCUGAUGAACAGAGAGUAUUCACUCAAGUUGACUCAUCUUGACCUUAAUACAGCCUUCAAGAAUACCAGUCAAAUGCUUGGGACCUUGGCUGAUAAUCUAUUAAAGGCUCCUGAAAUCUCCACCCACUCCACCACCCAGAACUCAAAAGAGGGGGUUGCUACUUCAGAGAGAGACAAGAAGGUGACAGAUCUCUCAAGAAGGAGACACCCUCGUGUCACUGUCAUCAGAGGAAGGUGGGACUAGGAGCCCUGAAAUUCUACUCUGGAUAAACACCCACAGCUGAGUUCUACUAGACUGUGAAGACAAGAAGGUGUCAACAUUCCUAAUGUAGGAAAGGGGUUUCUUUCCUUGAUUUGGAUGCCAUGCUUCUCUAAGAACCUAAGAAAGGAGAAAAGCUAUACUGGUACCCAGAGGAAACUGGAAGAUUCACCUGACCAUGCCUUGUUUACAGAAGUAUCAUUGUGCUAAAGAUGGCUAUGCUAAGCUGCUCUGAGCAGACCUCUGCUUGUCUCCAGUAAGAACAAAUCAGACACAACAAAUGAAAAUCCACUUGAAAAGAAAUUUAUAACAAAGUCCAAAAUAGCUGCUUUUUCCCCCUGGAGAUUAGUGCUGCUUUCUACAAGUCGAGUUUCCAUCUUCAGUUGGCAGUGGUAAUCCAGAGACUCAUAACUGGUCACAGUGCAAAGAAUAAGUGUGAUAAGUACUUAGCCCUAAAGUGAGCAUCAACAUACUUCCUCCAAGGUGCAAAGAACACCACAGAAGGACAGAAAAAGUAUCAAAGCCAAAGGAAGGGAAUGGAUGCUAUAAAACACCAUCUUCUAUACAUGACUCAGCUAACUCAUCUGGUGAACCCAUGAUCUCUAGGCAACCUUGGCUACCCACAAAAGAGCAUACCCAUCAAGACUAUGACAUGGAUUUGAUGAUUGAAUAUGAGAAGAAUUCCCAGGU